rnacentral:rRNA from 1 species
UGGCGGAAUGUUUUACACAUGCAAGUCGAACGGCAGCACGGACUUCGGUCUGGUGGCGAGUGGCGAACGGGUGAGUAAUGCAUCGGAACGUACCCAGUCGUGGGGGAUAACGUAGCGAAAGUUACGCUAAUACCGCAUACGACCUACGGGAGAAAGCAGGGGAUCGCAAGACCUUGCGCGAUUGGAGCGGCCGAUGUCAGAUUAGCUAGUUGGUGGGGUAAAGGCCUACCAAGGCGACGAUCUGUAGCGGGUCUGAGAGGAUGAUGCGCCACACUGGAACUGAGACACGGUCCANACUCCUACGGGAGGCAGCAGUGGGGAAUUUUGGACAAUGGGGGAAACCCUGAUCCAGCCAUUCCGCGUGAGUGAUGAAGGCCUUCGGGUUGUAAAGCUCUUUCGGCCGGGAAAAAAUCGCACGGGUUAAUACCCUGUGUGGAUGAUNGACCGGACUAAGAAGC